rnacentral:rRNA from 1 species
AUGCCCGACCCGCCGCAGCUUGCGCCGCCUCCUACAUCGAGCCCCGCUGUCCGCAUCCCCGCGGCGUCGCCAUCUUCAUCCGCGUGCACUUGGCGAUGGCGCCACCCACUGCCGGCCCUUGGACCGUGCUGCUCGAGCGCGGCGCCGGCUCUCGAUCCAUCCGGAGACGGAGAUGGAGAUGUCGCAGCGGAGCAGAAGCAGACGCUCGAUGCGGCGCUCCCCCGUCCCUCUUCCUCCUGCAUCAACUGCAUGCGCUCGAUUCGGAGACGAACGAGUUGGGCUCGGACGUUGCCGGCCGCCUGUUUGGUCUGCAAGAGGAUGCUCCCCUCUCCCUCUGUAAUUAACAGGCAAGGUACCAUCUUUCUCUCUCAGAUAUGA